rfam:Triticum urartu cultivar G1812 contig1227024, whole genome shotgun sequence.
GAGAGCACAGUACGAUGAAAGUUGUAAGCUGUGUUCGGGGGGGAGUUAUUGUCUAUCGUUGGCCUCUAUGGUAGAACCCGUCGGGGAAGCCUGAGAGGCGGUGGUUUACCCUAU